rnacentral:rRNA from 1 species
GACGAACGCUGGCGGCGUGCUUAACACAUGCAAGUCGAACGGAAAGGCCUGCUUUCCCCUGUGGAUUGCGGGUACUCGAGUGGCGAACGGGUGAGUAACACGUGAGUGAUCUGCCCCCAACUUGGGUAUAAGCCUGGGAAACUGGGUCUAAUUCCCGAUAGGACUGCAGGGUGGUGCCUGUGGUGGAAAACGAUUUUCUAGUGGUUGGGGAUGAGCUCGCGGCCCAUCAGCUUGUUGGUGGGGUAAUGGCCUACCAAGGCGGCGACGGGUAGCCGGCCUGAGAGGGUGGACGGCCACAUUGGGACUGAGAUACGGCCCAGACUCCUACGGGAGGCAGCAGUGGGGAAUAUUGCACAAUGGGCGGAAGCCUGAUGCAGCGACGCCGCGUGGGGGAUGACGGCCUUCGGGUGGUAAACUCCUUUCGACCGCGAGGAAGCCACCUGGUUGGAAGGGUGGUGACGGUAGUGGUAGAAGAAGCACCGGCUAACUACGUG